ACAAUGCGGAACUUUUAGUUUUGCAAUUGGAUUGAGAACAAUGUACAAAUGUUAUCGAUAAACAAUUGGAGGGCAAGUCUGGUGCCAGCAGCCGCGGUAAUUCCAGCUCCAAUAGCGUAUAUUAACGUUGUUGCAGUUAAAAAGCUCGUAGUUGAAAUGUGGGAUGAAGUAUAUGAUGAAUUUAAUAUUCAAUUAUAUAUUGAUUCCCCUCUCCAAUUUAUUAUUAUGGGUAUUAAUUUAUUUGUAAUAAGAAUUGGUCAUUUACUGUGAGAAAAUUAGAGUGUUCAAAGCAGGCAUUUGCUUGAAUAGAUUAGCAUGGAAUAAUACUAAAAGGCUUUUAUGGUCGAUUUAAUUGGUUUGUUCAUAAAAGCAAGAUUAAAAGGAACAGUUGGGGGUAUUCAUAUUCAAUAGUUAGAGGUGAAAUUCUCGGAUUUAUGGAAGAUGAACAAGUGCGAAAGCA
rnacentral:rRNA from 1 species